rnacentral:other from 1 species
AACAUCCUGCUGUGUACGUCACGGUCAUUCGUUGUUUUGAACCAAUGACAUUGUCUAGGGAGAUUUAUACGAUCAGCGGCUGACAUGCCCUGUCAAUUCUGACAUGGGGACUUCAAAUGCGUGAUCUGCGAUCACCCACCUGCUGAAGCAGGUUCAGAAGACACUAUGGUCGGACGGCAUCGGCGGGUUACAU